GAGUAAUGUCUGGGGAUCUGCCCGAUAGAGGGGGAUAACCACUGGAAACGGUGGCUAAUACCGCAUAACGUCGCAAGACCAAAGAGGGGGACCUUCGGGCCUCUCACUAUCGGAUGAACCCAGAUGGGAUUAGCUAGUAGGCGGGGUAAUGGCCCACCUAGGCGACGAUCCCUAGCUGGUCUGAGAGGAUGACCAGCCACACUGGAACUGAGACACGGUCCAGACUCAUACGGGAGGCAGCAGUGGGGAAUAUUGCACAAUGCGCGCAAGCCUGAUGCAGCCAUGCCGCGUGUAUGAAGAAGGCCUUCGGGUUGUAAAGUACUUUCAGCGGAGAGGAAGGCGACGGGGUUAAUAACCCUGUCGAUUGACGUUACCCGCAGAAGAAGCACCGGCUAACUCCGUG
rnacentral:rRNA from 1 species